UUCCGGUUGAUCCUGCCGGACCUGACUGCUAUCGGAUUGAUACUAAGCCAUGCGAGUCAUUGUAGUAAUACAAGGCAUACGGCUCAGUAACGCGUAGUCAACCUAACCUAUGGACGGGAAUAACCUCGGGAAACUGAGUAUAAUGCCCGAUAGAACAUUAUGCCUGGAAUGGUUUAUGUUCCAAAUGAUUUAUCGCCGUAGGAUGGGACUGCGGCCUAUCAGUUUGUUGGUGAGGUAAUGGCCCACCAAGACUAUUACAGGUACGGGCUCUGAGAGGAGUAGCCCGGAGAUGGGUACUGAGACACGGACCCAGGCCCUAUGGGGCGCAGCAGGCGAGAAAACUUUGCAAUGUGCGAAAGCACGACAAGGUUAAUCCGAGUGGUUUCUGCUAAAGGAACCUUUUGUUAGUCCUAGAAACACUAACGAAUAAGGGGUGGGCAAGUUCUGGUGUCAGCCGCCGCGGUAAAACCAGCACCUCAAGUGGUCAGGAUGAUUAUUGGGCCUAAAGCAUCCGUAGCCGGCUCUGUAAGUUUUCGGUUAAAUCUGUACGCUCAACGUACAGGCUGCCGGGAAUACUGCAGAGCUAGGGAGUGGGAGAGGUAGACGGUACUCGGGAGGAAGGGGUAAAAUCCUUUGAUCUCUCGAUGACCACCUGUGGCGAAGGCGGUCUACCAGAACACGUCCGACGGUGAGGGAUGAAAGCUGGGGGAGCAAACCGGAUUAGAUACCCGGGUAGUCCCAGCUGUAAACUAUGCAAACUCAGUGAUGCAUUGACUUGUGGUCAAUGCAGUGCUGCAGGGAAGCCGUUAAGUUUGCCGCCUGGGAAGUACGUACGCAAGUAUGAAACUUAAAGGAAUUGGCGGGGGAGCACCACAAGGGGUGAAGCCUGCGGUUCAAUUGGAGUCAACGCCGGA
rnacentral:rRNA from 1 species